ensembl:snoRNA
AGGUCAUUUCAAAGAGGGAUUCGGGAAUUAAAACCAAGAGCUCUUAAUUCUAUGACCAAAUAUUGAUGUUUUCCACAGGAUGUAAUAGUUACUCAGCAGCACCAUGAUUUCCUGAGGAGAUAUAAAA